UACAGAGGGUGCAAGCGUUAAUCGGAAUUACUGGGCGUAAAGCGCGCGUAGGUGGUGGGUUAAGUUGGAUGUGAAAGCCCCGGGCUCAACCUGGGAACUGCAUCCAAAACUGGCCGACUAGAGUACAGUAGAGGGUGGUGGGAUUUCCUGUGUAGCGGUGAAAUGCGUAGAUAUAGGAAGGAACACCAGUGGCGAAGGCGACCACCUGGACUGAUACUGACGCUCAUGCACGAAAGCGUGGGGAGCAAACAGG
rnacentral:misc_RNA from 1 species